rnacentral:rRNA from 1 species
GAUGAACGCUGGCGGCGUGCCUAAUACAUGCAAGUCGAGCGAACGGACGAGAAGCUUGCUUCUCUGAUGUUAGCGGCGGACGGGUGAGUAACACGUGGAUAACCUACCUAUAAGACCGGGAUAACUUCGGGAAACCGGAGCUAAUACCGGAUGAUAUUUUGAACCGCAUGGUUCAAAAGUGAAAGACGGUCUUGCUGUCACUUAUAGAUGGAUCCGCGCUGCAUUAGCUAGUUGGUAAGGUAACGGCUUACCAAGGCAACGAUGCAUAGCCGACCUGAGAGGGUGAUCGGCCACACUGGAACUGAGACACGGUCCAGACUCCUACGGGAGGCAGCAGUAGGGAAUCUUCCGCAAAGGGCGAAAGCCUGACGGAGCAACGCCGCGUGAGUGAUGAAGGUCUUCGGAUCGUAAAACUCUGUUAUUAGGGAAGAACAUAUGUGUAAGUAACUGUGCACAUCUUGACGGUACCUAAUCAGAAAGCCACGGCUAACUACGUG